AGAUUUGUUAGGAGACCUCUAUUCCCCUCACAGAGCUGCAGUUACAAAGUGGUUUAACAACAGUUCCUCUCUCCAGGUAACUCUGCAAAUUGUAGCUCUGGGAGAGGAAUAGAGGUCUCCUUACAACUCU